CACCAGCGCCACGAGUGGCUAUCACAAUUAUUGGGCCUAAAGCGUCCGUAGUCGGUUCGGUGCAUCCUCUGUGAAAUCGCAGCGCUUAACGUUGCGGCAUGCGGAGGACACGGCCGAGCUUGAGACCGGGAGGCGUCGGGGGUAUUCCACGGGGACCGGUAAAAUGGUAUAAUCCGUGGAGGACCACCUGUGGCGAAGGCGCCCGACGAGCACGGAUCUGACGAUGAGGGACGAAAGCCAGGGGAGCAAA
rnacentral:rRNA from 1 species